AAUGGGCGCAAGCCUGACGACGCAACGCCGCGUGGAGGAUGAAGGUCUUCGGAUUGUAAACUCCUGUUGCCCGGGACGAAUGGCUCCGACCUAACACGUCGGAGUGUGACGGUACCGGGUGAGGAAGCCCCGGCUAACUCUGUGCCAGCAGCCGCGGUAAUACAGAGGGGGCAAGCGUUGUUCGGAAUUACUGGGCGUAAGGGCGCGUAGGCGGCCUGCUAAGUCGAACGUGAAAUCCCUGGGCUCAACCCAGGAACUGCGUCCGAUACUGGUUGGCUUGAAUUCGGGAGAGGGACGCGGAAUUCCAGGUGUAGCGGUGAAAUGCGUAGAUAUCUGGAGGAACACCGGUGGCGAAGGCGGCAUCCUGGACCGAUAUUGACGCUGAUGCGCGAAAGCCAGGGGAGCAAACGGGAUUAGAUACCCCGGUAGUCCACGCCAUAAACGAUGGGCACUAGGUGUCGCGGGUAUUGACCCCUGCGGUGCCACAGCUAACGCAUUAAGUGCCCCGCCUGGGGAUUACGGCCGCAAGGUUAAAACUCAAAGGAAUUGACGGGGGCCCGCACAAGCGGUGGAGCAUGUGGUUCAAUUCGACGCAACGCGAAGAACCUUACCUGGGCUAGACAACAUCGGACAGUCUCAGAGAUGAGAUCUUCCCUUCGGGGACCGGUGGUUCAGGUGCUGCAUGGCUGUCGUC
rnacentral:rRNA from 1 species